GGUAGGACUACCCGCUGAACUUAAGCAUAUCAAUAAGCGGAAG
rnacentral:rRNA from 1 species